rnacentral:rRNA from 1 species
UUAGACGGUAGGGUAUUGGCCUACCGUGGCUAUGACGGGUAACGGGGAAUUAGGGUUCGAUUCCGGAGAGGGAGCCUGAGAAACGGCUACCACAUCUAAGGAAGGCAGCAGGCGCGCAAAUUACCCAAUCCUAAUACAGGGAGGUAGUGACAAGAAAUAACAAUACAGAACCUUACGGUUUUGUAAUUGGAAUGAGUUAAGUAUAAACCCCUUAACAAGUAUCAAUUGGAGGGCAAGUCUGGUGCCAGCAGCCGCGGUAAUUCCAGCUCCAAUAGCGUAUAUUAAAGUUGUUGCAGUUAAAAAGCUCGUAGUUAAUCUUCUGUUAAUUUUUAUAUAUAAUAUUUCGAUAUUUAUAUAAUAUUAACAUAAUUCAUAUUACUUUUUAGUAUAUGAAACUUUACUUUGAGAAAAUUAGAGUGCUUAAAGCAGGCUAUUGCCUUGAAUACUCCAGCAUGGAAUAAUAUUAAGGAUUUUUAUUCUUCUUAUUGGUUCUAGAAUAAAAAUGAUGAUUAAUAGGAACAGUUGGGGGCAUUUGUAUUUAACAGUCAGAG